UACGUAGGGUGCAAGCGUUGUCCGGAAUUAUUGGGCGUAAAGAGCUCGUAGGCGGUCUGUCGCGUCGGCUGUGAAAACUCGGGGCUCAACCCCGAGCCUGCAGUCGAUACGAGCAAACUAGAGUGUUGCAGGGGAGACUGGAAUUCCUGGUGUAGCGGUGAAAUGCGCAGAUAUCAGGAGGAACACCGGUGGCGAAGGCGGGUCUCUGGGCAACAACUGACGCUGAGGAGCGAAAGCGUGGGGAGCGAACAGG
rnacentral:rRNA from 1 species